GAUGAACGCUAGCGGCAGGCCUAAUACAUGCAAGCUGAACGGUAAAUAUUGUAGCAAUACGAUAUGAGAGUAGCGUAAGGGUGCGUAACACGUAUGCAAUCUGCCCGCAACAGGAGGAUAGCUCCCCGAAAGGGGAAUUAAUACUUCAUAAUAUCACGAGAGGGCAUCUGAUUGUGAUUAAACUCCAACGGUUUGCGGAUGAACAUGCGUCUGAUUAGUUAGUUGGUGAGGGAACGGCUCACCAAGACGAUGAUCAGUAGGGGAACUGAGAGGGUGAUCCCCCACACUGGCACUGAGAUACGGGCCAGACUCCUACGGGAGGCAGCAGUAGGGAAUAUUGGUCAAUGGGUGAAAGCCUGAACCAGCCAUGCCGCGUGCAGGAAGACGGCCUUCUGGGUUGUAAACUGCUUUUGCCAGGGGAUAAAAUACCCAUGCGUGGGGAAUUGAAGGUACCUGGUGAAUAAGCCACGGCUAACUACGUGCCAGCCGCCGCGGUAACAC
rnacentral:rRNA from 1 species